UACGUAGGGGGCAAGCGUUAUCCGGAUUUACUGGGUGUAAAGGGAGCGUAGGUGGCAUGGCAAGCCAGAAGUGAAAACCCGGGGCUUAACCCCGCGGAUUGCUUUUGGAACUGUCAGGCUGGAGUGCAGGAGGGGCAGGCGGAAUUCCGUGUGUAGCGGUGAAAUGCGUAGAUAUACGGAGGAACACCAGUGGCGAAGGCGGAUUGCUGGACAGUAACUGACGCUGAGGCGCGAAAGCGUGGGGAGCAAACAGG
rnacentral:rRNA from 1 species